UCUGGUAGGUUCCACAAUGGUACAGGCAGCAUCACGCUGCACAAUGGUUUCCAGGCAGUGAAAGAGGGUGAUUCAGCAAGCCACUCUUCUUCUUUUUUUAAAGCCUUCUCUUCUCUCUUCAUUUGUAUGGGGGUGGGUGGUGCUUGUUAUAUGCUUACCUUUUUCUUUUCUUUAUUCAUUUUUACUGUUUUCCUUUUUUCUCCUCACCCCUCAAUUCCUAGGGGCUUGAGUGACUUUACGAUUGGGUUUGCUUGGAAAUCACCUGUCCAUCAUUAAUUUUAAACAAUUUGCCCACCUCCAGAGGAUCUGCUCCUUAUUACAGUUUGGAAUGUGGUUAAUGGCAAACAAGUAGGGAGGCUUUCUGGGGCAAACACUGCUGGAUCAGGAUCGUAGUUCUCAAGCACGGAAUGGCUAGCGUGAGAAACCCCAAUGGCAGGAUCAUCUCAGAUCUUCGUUAUAGCAACUCAUGCAAGAGGCUGUUGAAUUAGACCCAUUUCCUAUAGAUGAGAUACCAUACAAGCAGUGCAUGUAUAUUGCUGGGUGACCCUUACUAGGAUUGGGAAGAGCAAGCUGUGGAAAGAAUAUAGCUGGGGAGCGCAAGAAAAAGUGAGUUUAUAA